rnacentral:sRNA from 1 species
CGGCAAACAGAAUUAGCAAUACUUUUACUUAAAAUGAAAUAACUUCAACACCUCAAACACAAAGUUUUGUUUGGCAUUAUUUGGACUAAAUAUGAUACCAUUUAAGAAACAUUCAUUGAUUUUUACUAUUUUCCAUUGAAAAGCAUAAAAUAUUACCGGCACCACAAAUAUAAUAGUAUUAUCAUUCCACUAUAACCUUCAAGGAAUAUUUACACCACUGUCAUCAUUGUGAAUAAUGUCUCCUGUUGGUCUUAGGGGAUGGCAAAGGAUUUAAGGGAAAUAGAGGAUUUAAUGACUUCAUGAUGGUUUUGGCACAGGAUGUAGACACAUUCAACCUUAACAGUGCAGAAGCUAAAAUACAAAAGAUGAAAACCUCGGAGUCAGUGAUGGGAGCAACUAAGUUGGGAUAUUCUGACUGGAAAAUUGUCCUAUUUGACAACAAUUAAAAACAUCAGUGACUAUGCCAGAAUAACUAGAGCUGAAUUAUGUCAGAGCUGAGAUCUAAACUCCAUUCCACUGCAGAGAUGGUCUCGUUUGUACAAAGCGACUAUAAGGCACACCUUGAGAAGCAAGGAAGAAGGAUAACAGAUUAGUGACCUCCUGGACUAUGAAAUCACUUUAUACUAUUCUCAAGAGUUUAUCAAUGCAAUAAAAGAAGUAGUAGAAAGAAGAGGAGAUGAUGACAACAACGAAGUCGACAACUAUGACGAGAACAAUGAAGGGAAGAGAAGGGAAAGGAAAG